rnacentral:rRNA from 1 species
UACGAAGGGGGCUAGCGUUGCUCGGAAUCACUGGGCGUAAAGGGUGCGUAGGCGGGUCUUUAAGUCAGGGGUGAAAUCCUGGAGCUCAACUCCAGAACUGCCUUUGAUACUGAGGAUCUUGAGUUCGGGAGAGGUGAGUGGAACUGCGAGUGUAGAGGUGAAAUUCGUAGAUAUUCGCAAAGAACACCAGUCGGCGAAGGCG